rnacentral:lncRNA from 12 species
AUAUACCUCUGCCUUUCUUCCCAACUCUACUCUUUGAGCUGAGCAGUUCAAAGUUGAUAUUGAGUGAGUUCUCAGCUCUCUAUCUAGCAUCUUUGAUGAUGGGCAAUCUCAAUUGUUGCUCCUGCGAAGGAUCUACAGUCAGAAACCCAAAACAAAAACUAUUUUGAAACCAAUUGUGUACACCUGGACUGAAAAGUGGGCGAAAAUAUUUCAAGUUUGCAGAAAAGAAUAAUUCAUCCAUCAAAGGAGUCAAUGGAAGAUGCAUCCUAUGAUUCUUUGGUCAUUACACUCUUCCAGAAGAUCAGAGUGGAAGUGAAAUUAAUUUUGUCAAGGCGAGCUUGAG